rnacentral:rRNA from 1 species
GACGAACGCUGGCGGCGUGCCUAAUACAUGCAAGUAGAACGCAGUUUCGAACAGGUGAGUAACGCGUAUGUAACUGCCUCAUAGCGGGGGGUAACUAUUGGGAACGAUAACUAAUACCCCAUACUGUGAGAUGGAUCUGCGUUGUAUUAGGUAGUUGGUGAGGUAAAGGCUCACCAAGGCGACGAUCCAUAGCCGGCCUGGGAGGGUGAUCGGCCACACUGGGAAUGAGACAAGGGCCAGAAUCCUACGGGAGGCAGCAGGAGGGAAACAUUGGCAAUGGAGGGAAGUCUGAACGAGCAAAGCCGGGUGAGUGAAGAAGGGUUUCGGAUUGUAAAGCUCUUUUGUUAGGGAAGCGGUAACUAAAGAGAAAGGGACGGCUAACUACGUGCCAGCAGCCGCGGUAAUAC